CACUUAAAGUUUGACCCCCCGAAACUAGGCGAGCUACUCUAAAACAAUCACAGAACUAACCCAUCCCUGUUACAAAAGGGUGGGAUGAUUUUAAAGUAGAGGUGAUACACCUACCGAGCCCAGAAAUAGCUGGUUAUUCAAAAGACGGAUUUAAGUCCAACUCUAAGCUUCUCUUAGUAAUACUAAACACCAACAAGCUUAAAAGUCACUCAAAUAAGGUACAGCCUAUUUGAACAAGGAGACAACCUACAAUUUAGGGUAAUGACAUUAUACACGACUAAGUAGGCCUAAAAGCAGCCAACUUUCAAAAAGCGUCUAAGCAUCAUCUCACCACAUCCAUAAUUCCACAAUUAACCCAAAACCCCCAAACAUCACUGAAUGACCCCAUACCCAUAUGGUAAACAUUAUGCUAGAACUAGUAACAAGAAAACGAACUUCUCCAAAAUGCAAGCGUAAGCCAAAAUGAACCCACCACCGGCAAUUACCGCUACCACAGUACCAACCCUACAAGAAAACCCUACUUUACCUAGCGCCAACCUUACACUAGAAUAUUACCGGAAAGAUUAAAAGACGGGGAAGGAAUUC
rnacentral:rRNA from 1 species